rnacentral:lncRNA from 1 species
CACAGGGCCUGCAAGAGUUUUCUGAAAGAUGCCAUGUACAAGCCACCAGGCCGCUCUGCAGAUCUGGAAAUCUUCAUCCACAUCCACAUUUCCUGUUAUUACCUGGCCAACUCAUAACAGGUUACUAAGGAUGAAGGAGAUCACAAUAUAUAUAUUGUGGGGAUAUUUCUCCUUUGUGCUGGAUUAUAGGUUCUCAUGUUCUCAUGUUUGGUUACAGAUGUGCCCCCAGAGAGGGCUUUACCAGCCCUUCCACGGCCUCCUGCAUUUGAUCCGAGCUGGCAUCCCAGAGCUGUACUUGUUGGUGAUGAGUACAGAGUUCUGUGGCCUAAUCCUCCCCGCAAGCCUCAGGGUGAUUCUGAAGAUGUGGCAGUAGGUGAUGGUUAUCCAGCUUUCCAGCUGCAUUCCAGAGCUGAACAUCCAGGAGAUCACAUGGAUAUGCCCUCAAGGAAGGCUCUUCCAGCUCUUCCGCAGCCUCCUGUGCUGGAUCCAAGCUGGCAUCCAAGAGGUACUCAGAGAGCACGUUAUACACCUAGAAGAGGAAAAAAGUCCCAAAAGACAUCUAAAGUCUCAGAGAAAACUGUGAAGAAACUGAUGCAGGUAGACUUUGACCAACCCGCAAAAACUAUGCAGCAGGAAGGAAGCCGUCACAUGCUGCCAGUUUCUGAUGUAAACAGAAAGGCAAUGCAUGCAACUAGCAUGCCAGAGGUGGACUCUCAGAAGAACACAAAGGCAGGCAAUAACAAACGUCUGCGGUUGUAUAUUACAAUGUCUUCAGUGGUCCCGAUGGUGCUGCUGUCUUUGCGUCUGACAUUUUUAAUUGGCAAAUUGUAUCAGAAGAGCAAAGAGCUAAUGAAAGAGAAAGAAGAGACAGCACCGGGACAAGCUAACACUGACGCUGCCUUGAUUGGACAAGAUCAAACUGGAAAUGCAGCGUCAAGGGAAGAAACAAAAUGA